rnacentral:rRNA from 1 species
GAUGAACGCUGGCGGCGUGCUUAACACAUGCAAGUCGAACGGACAGGCCCUGCUUUUGUGGGGUGCUCGAGUGGCGAACGGGUGAGUAACACGUGUGUAUCCUGCCCUUGUAUUUCGGGUAACUUCACGAAACUGGGGCUCAUACCGGAUAGGAGCUCCUGCUGCAUGGUGGGGGUUGGAAAGUUUCGGCGGUUGGGGCUGGAAUGGCGGCUUAUCCGCUAGUUGGUGGGGUAGUGGCUUACCCAGGUUGUGACGGGUAGCCGGCCUGAGAGGGUAGACGGGCACAUGGGGACUGAGAGACGGCGCAGACGCGAACGGGAGGCAACAGGGGGAAGUAUUGCACAGUGGGCGGGAGCGAGUGGCGGCAACGCCGCGUGCGGAAAGACGGCCUUCGGGUUAAAAACCGCUGUCGCCUGAGACGAGGCGGGAGUGACGGUAAUGGAUAAAGAAGCACCGGCUAACUACGUG